CAAUUAUGGCAGCUUCAUCAUUUCUCAUACGGUUCUUGCGUUUCUUGCUAAAAUUCACCUGGAAAUAGGAACAUGAAUACAGGAUGUGAACCUUGGUCUACUACAUUAAGAGAAGAACAGACUGAAGGUGUCUGAGAAUAGGAUGCUGACCUGGAUCUAAAAGUUGCACAAGGAAUACAGAAUAGCAAUAUCUCACCUUGGCAUAACAGACAGCCCUGCCCUUUGUCUCGCUGCAAUCUCCUCUCCAAG